UACGAAGGGGCUAGCGUUGCUCGGAAUCACUGGGCGUAAAGCGCACGUAGGCGGAUUGUUAAGUCGGGGGUGAAAUCCUGGAGCUCAACUCCAGAACUGCCUUUGAUACUGGCGAUCUUGAGUCCGGGAGAGGUGAGUGGAACUGCGAGUGUAGAGGUGAAAUUCGUAGAUAUUCGCAAGAACACCAGUGGCGAAGGCGGACUCGA
rnacentral:rRNA from 1 species